GUAUCUUUCCCAGAUACCCCAAAUGGGGUCAUGAAGAUUUGGACACGACUGAACAAUAACAACAAAGAACGACCUGCCAAUUGAAGGUAACCUGGACUCAACCUCUGCACUCCUCAGCUCUGAUUGAUAAACAGAGUGGACACAGAAAACUGAACCCAGCUGAAUGGAACUGAACAAGAAUGCAUAAAAUGCACAUAGGCACACACCUGAAAUAUCUAACAGUUGCCUCAGUUCAACAUAUGUGUGAUCCCAGAGAAUUUUUCAU